CAGAUGUUUCAAGGGUUUGAAGAAAUAGUGACAGGAAGCAAUACAAGCAGUGACUGAAAAAUCUUACUGGAUGAUAUAUCUCUGAACAGGCAAGAAUCUGCUUGUGUGGAUAAAAAGCAACCAGAACAGUUGCCUAGGUGGGCUGGUUCAAGUAUAAAGUUCUGCAACAUUCUUAUGUUAUGUGAAGUCUAACGACAAAUUGCAGGUCCCUGUGUUAUAUCACCCCCUAAUAGUCCCUAAGAGUCCUCUGUUGAGCUGUUCACUUCUCUUCUACCAGAAUAAACUUAUGAUAAAUUGUAUGACUUAAUUUAGUCAUACAGCUGUUUGCAGAAAUGCCUUUCUUUGGGGCUCAUGGCGGUCCUUCUUCACCUACUUGAUCAUCAUGAAUAGUACCAAUGACAGUUAGAUUAACAUCUGCAGUUAUAUAUGCUCAAAGUUUCGACAUGAAUAGUUGCAGACAAAUAUGGGAAUCAGAGGUAGAGAAGUUUGCCAAACCAUUGAAGAAGUUAUCAAGACAUCAUUAAAAAGUAUGAAAAGAGCAAUCGGUCAGGAAGCAAGGACCUCAUGGGAAAGCUUCGGAGUUGGUACAGCGACAAGCGGUGUGGCCUUUUUGAGAACAAUCCCAAACCUCUCAGAAAGGUCGAGCUUGGUUCCCUCUGGUAGAUU